AGGCGGAAGGUCCUACUGCUGGAGAUGAAGAAGAAUCUGAGAAGUCAGUAUCUGAGGUGAAUGAUGAGGAUGAUGAUGAGGAGGGCAGUGGCGAGGUUUCUUUUUAUUCUUUUUUGCGUCAUUGCCUUGUGGUUUGUGGUAAUUAUUUGCAUGAUAUUUACUUGGUAUUGUUUAUUUCAUGCAGGAGGAGGAUGAUGAUUAGAGAGUGGACUGAUAACAAUUUAUGUAGGUUUUGAUGAUUUGGAUCAUCUUUUGUAGGUGGUCUGGUCAUUUCCUGAUGAUAAACAAACAUGUUUCUUUCUUCCAGAAAAAUAUUUCUCUGCUCCCUCCGUAAAAUUGUUUUGUCUGUCCAAAACGUGAAUAGUUGAAAGAUGGGAGAUCUUUAUUUGUACUUCUAAAUCCAACUGCUUAGUUAAGGGGUGCUUAUCUUUUGUAGAGCUUUUAGUUUGAUUUAGUUCUCUUGUUGAAAUCUGGUUAAGUUUGUAUGAAUAUAAUUGGCUUAUCUUCCCAUUUCUGCUGUAUAUAUACAUAUGCUAUGAUGCGUCACACUUCAUUCAUGUUGCUGUGCUGUAUGUUUUGUUUUUUUUUUUUGUGAUUUUAAUGUUUUGGGUGUUGUGUUCUGCACCUGAUGUAUGUGUUUUUUCAAUUUAAUGUUGCAUUGUAUCAACAUUCAUACGUGUUUUUCUAUUUGAAGUUGAAUUAUCUCAACAUUUAUUUUGAACUAAUGUUUGGCGAUAUUAAAACGUAGUUUUAAAACGAUAAAAGUUGCUGCUUUAAAAUGUAAUUGAUUAGUGUUGCUUUAAAACGAUAAAAGUUGCUGCUUUAAAAUGUAAUUGAUUAGUGUUGCUUUAAAACGUAAUUUUAAUAAAACUUUAUCGAAAUUUUAUAAUGGUGAGGUAUAUCCUUCAUCGUGUAAUCAGUUUACAUGUGUAUUUUUGUUGUUGUUGGAUCAUUUGACGAAUUUUGACUGAUGAUGAUGGUUGAUUGUAUAGUGUUUGUUGGUACUUUUCCAGUCAUGUAAUGCAUAAAAGCAUGAUCUCACAGAUUAACUGUUUCUAUUUUAUAUACAAAAGUUGUUUGUAGUUUUUCUUUCUUGUAAAAGUAUAUUUUGAAUAUUUUUCCGUUGGAAUUGUUCUAUACUUGUACUAUAAUUAUUUCAUAUACUUAAAUUUGAUCCAUUUAUAAUCCCUAUAGAAGACAAUUUAAUAUACUUUUGAUGUAUAUUAAUAUUUAUAAAAAAUAUCUUAAGUAAUUAUUUUUUAAGAACAUAUUUUUAUAAAAGAAAUUAGAUAUUAGUCUUCUGUUUGUUAUCUAUAUUAUAAUCUAGGUCGUAUUAUUUGGUUAGGGUUUUUUUGUAAUUUUAGCAAAUGUUUAAAUGUAUAGACAUGAAUAUGUAAUGGUAGUUGGGUAUUAAAUGUAUUCGCAUAAAUAUGUAAUGGCAGUUGGAUAUUAAAUAUAUAGUCAUUAAUUUGUAAAUCUGACUAUUGGAUAUUUAAGUAUACAAUCAUACAUACGCAAUAUUUAGUUAUAAAUUUUCAAAUUGACCAUGAAAUUAUUAAGAAUGCAAUUAAAUUAAUUUAAUGAGUUGAACUAUAUGUGUUUGUAUUUGAAGUAGUUUUUGAAUAUUUGAAGUAGUUUUUGAUUUAUUUUUGUGUAUAGAAUGAACAUUUUAGUAAUUUAGCAUAUUUUAAUAUUGUAUUAUAUUAGUGCAAAUUGUUCUGUUCCUUUUAAAACUCAUACCAUAAGAUUUGUGUUUGGAUUGGUUGUGAAUUUUGUUAAAUUAUUUGUGUUAUAAUAUUCUUUUUUAUCUUGUUUAAAUAUAUAUAUAUAUAUAUAUAUAUAAAUAAAAAUAUAUAUUUUAAAAAUUGAAAAUAUAUAUUGUGUGUUGUUUUAGUGUGAUUAAAAUGAUUUUUUUGAAUAAAUUUCUGAUAUUUCAAUUUUCUUUUGUAUAUGAUAUUUUGAUUUAGUUAUAUCAUUUGUUGGUUUUUCAUAUAUUUGUCAAUAUAAGGUUAUAAUGUAAUUAUAUUAUAACAUUUUUUAUAAUUAUUAUUUUUAUAUAUAAAGGGAUUUCCUUUUAACUGUUUUUUUUUUUAUAAAUUUUAUCCUCAUAUUAAUAUUUAUUUUAUUAUUUUAUCAUUCUUCUGAGUAGUUACUAAAUAUAUUAUGAUUUUUAUAAAAUUAUAUUUUGAAAACUAUUCUUUUUUCUUUUUAAAACUAAUAUUUUAAAAAAAUUAAUAUCUGUUGAGUUUUCUUUUUUUUUUUUACAUGUUUUUUAUUAUUUUAUUUAAUUAUUAUUUUGUAACUACUUGAAUUUGAAAUGGUAAAAUUAAAAAAUAUUACUUAAAUUGAAAAUUGAGAAAAAAAAACUAAUUGAAACAUCAGAAAUAUAUAAAAAAUUCUUUCUUUAAAUGUUUUUAAGUAUAUACAAUUUUAUUCCUAUAGGUAAAUAUCAAUAAAUUUGUUUAGAAGAUCGAAAAAGAGAUAUUUAAAAGAAUAAAGAGUAGGAGGAAGAAAGGAUGAUGGUUUGUUUUGAUGAGAAUAGAAGAGGUAAAUGAGGGUGUAAAACACAGGAAAAUUUCCUGUUUAUAAACACAGAAAAAAAAAAAAACGAAAAUCAGUGUCGUAUUUCGCUCUUUGCUUUCGUACACCUCGUCUUCCACGGCACACUCAUUUUGUUCCACAAAUUCUUCACCCAAUGCAGCAUCGACGCAACUCUUUGCUUCUAAACGUGAGUCUCUCACCUCUAAUUUUGUUACUUCUUUCUUUUGCUUAGGCACAAGUUGCUUUAGGUUGUUAAGGUUCUUCGCAAUACACCUUCUUUUGUUGUCAAUUUUUAAUUUUAAUUAUUAUUCGUUGCAUGAAAUUAAACUGAUCAAUCGCAAUUCGGCUGUUGCUUGGAUUUGAGAAUUAGCUCUUGGCUUUCUGAAUUAAUUUCCUUAGCAAUGCAAUUGGGUUCAGUUUGCGUUUAAGUAUUGGUGGAUGUUGAGAAAGAAAGGACAUAGGGAAGAAAAGGGAUUAACAUGCUCUUAAGGAUAAGAAAAAAUAAUCAUAUUUUAUUAUAUUUAUUUUUUAUGUAAUAUUUUUCAUAAUUAAUAAUAAUUGGGAUGAAUUUUUUAUUAUUAUUUAAUGAUAUCAUGUUUAUUAUUUAAAAAUAAAAAUGUAGAGGUUAUAAGGUUUUUACAUGCAUCUGCUGUUGUAAUUAUUAUACUGAAAACUAUUUUUAUUUCUUUUAUUCAGAUGCUUAAAAUUGACUGGUUAUAUAAUUGAAAAACGAUCAAAAAUUGAAAACUGACCCAUUCUAACUUGUUACUUUAGAUUUUGAUUUGAGUAAGUAAUGAUUUAUUAUUAUGUUUUCAUUUAAUAAUAUUUGUGUAGAGUUAAUCCACAAGUAAUAAGAACCUAAAAGUAUUGUUUAAUUGUUUGAUGAUAAAAGAAUGAAGAUAUGAGAACGUGUAUUUUGUUACUGUGAAUGAAAAAUAUAACCAAGAUUAUGAAACAAAAUAUUAAUGAUAGUCAGAUAUGAGAGUGAAACUUGUUUACUAUGGUUAUCAAUUUGUUUUUAUUAAAAUUAGAUACUAAAGGAGCAUUAUAAUUUUUAAUAAUAAAAUUAUAUAAUUGAUUUAUAAAUGAGUGAAAAUUAUAAAUAAUUAAUUAUAUUAAAAUAGUUUAAGACAGUUUUUUUAUUUCAAUAAUAUUUUAUUAUAACAUGUUUAACAUUUUUUUCUCAUAAAUCACUUUGAUUUCUUUUGUAAAAAUAUUUAGUCUGUGUAAUUUAAAGUUUAUAUUAAAUUUAAAAAUAUAAUCUUUUGUAAAUAAUAGUCUUUUUUGUUGUUGAGCCAAUUUAUUAAAGUAAAAAUAUAAUCAAAUUUUUAAUUUUAUUUGGUAUUGAAUUCUUCUAUAUCUUGGAUGCAAAAUCAGUACUAUUAUCUUUUAAUUUUAACAAUUAUAUAGUUUUAUACUUAUUAAAACUAUUGGUGAAGUUUAUUUGAUGUUUUAAUUUAUAUGUUUUUUAAAACUUUAUUUUAUUUUUUACUAGCAUAUAUUUAAUAGUAAAAUAUUGAAUACACACAAAAUUAAUUUCAAAGUGUGUGAGUUUAUAUUCAGUGUUAUGAUAUUGGACUUUUGCCCAUAUGAUGCAUUUUCAACUUUUACUAGAUUAGCUUGAAAAACUUUUUACUCAGUGCAUAUCAUUUCACCAAGUAUAUCUUUAUUUUUUAAAACUCACUAAACAUUUUGAAAUUGGGUUUCCAAAUUUUGUAAUCACAUACACAAUGUUAUUUUCUUAUUUAGUUUAUUUUCUCAUAUUUGACAUUUGUUUAUAUUUUUUUUUAUUUUGGAUUUUUUAUUAUGUCAUUUCUCUGUUUUUUAUUAUCUCAAAAUUGCAUUAUUUAUUAUUUUUAUCAUCAUUGAAUAGUUUUACAUAAAUUAAAUUAAUUUCAUUAAUCUUUUUUUGAAAAUGUAAUUUUUUAUUGUACAAGAUACUGUUUUGAAACAAUCAAAUUCAAGAAAGUUUAUUUUAACAGUGUUUUUCUACUUUUAAUUUUUUUUAUUUCUUCCCUAUAUUUUUUAAUAUAAACAAACUCAGGGAGAUGUUCUUAUGUAUAAAGUUUUUCAUCAUUUCACAGGUGAACAACAAAAAAUCACUAGUGAAGACAACUGAAAAAGAAACAAGUUCUUUAACUUCUGUCAUAUACAAAGAAAUGUCUUUCUUAUAUACCUCUACCUUAUUGUAGAGGAGAAUAAUGACUGUAUAUAAUCAUAUCUCACUGCUGCUUAAACAUUCAUACUACUUAAUCAUAUUUGCUUUACUUAUAAUAUGUUCUAUGAAAGAAACAUUUCAUAACUAGUUGAAUGAAAUUGGUGUAUGCAUUUGCUAAGAACAUAGUUCUUUAUUGCAAUGUAGGCACAUAUAGUUGAAAUUUCAUAGGUUCUUUCAGUCAUUAUUUUCAAGAAAUGGAUAAUCUGUGUAUCCAACAACAGGAUCACUGGUGUAAAAAGUUCUUCUAUCAGGCUUGUUCAAUUCAGCAUCCAUUUCAAAUCUCCUUGGUAGAUCUGGAUUAGCCAAAAACAAGCGUCCAUAAGCCACCAAAUCUGCACCAUCAUCGGCAACCACUUUGUUUCCACCACUCUUAUUGUACCCCCCUGCAACAAUAAAGGUUCCACCAAAAGCCUUUCUGAUAGGCAACAAGGACAUAUUGGUCUCACACUUUUCAAACAUUGUAAUCAUCCUGGGUUCAAUGACAUGACAAUAAAGAAUGUCCAAUUUGCUUAAGGAUUGUGCCAUAUAAAUGCCCAAUGCUUGAGGGUCAGAGUCUUUGCAAUCACAAUAGUUAGCAAAAGGAGACAGUCUAACACCAACUUUCUCUGAUCCAAUCUCAUCAACUAUUGCCUUCACAACCAUGAGUGGAAAUCGACAACGAUUCUCUAAGCUACCUCCAUAUUCAUCAUCUCUGUCGUUCACAUGGUCUUUAAGGAACUGCUCAAUUAAGUAUCCAUUGGCUCCAUGUAUCUCCACACCAUCAAUGCCUGAAUAAAUUACCAGUUGAAUCACACAUAUAUUGACUUUGUCACAUUAUCUUCUUCAUUAACAUGAAGUUUUUAGUAACACAAUUUUUUAUUAAAUAUGAUUGAGUAUAAAUAUAUCACUUAAGCACUUUAGCAUAUCACAUGCAUGCAAGUAUGUAGGUAACAUUUUGUAGAGUCAAAUCACAUUUUGAAUGAGGAACUAGAAGAAGAAGAGGAAUCUGUUGAGCAAAAGUUACUACCAGCUUCUAUAGCAUUUUUUGCUGCCAUUCUGAAGUCAUUGACAAUCAUAGGUAUUUCAUCUGUUCUGAGAGGACGUGGAGGGGGGUAUUUAGUGCUGCUACCUUCAAUUGCCUUGUUUGUACUUGAAAUUGGAGGUUCUCCAUUUGGCUGAUACACUGUUCAAUAUAUAUUAUCAAUGUUUACCGCAUCAUUCGUGCAAAACUUCAAAAUAAUUAAUGAAGGUUGAAAUUUAAAUGAAAGUUCAGAGACACCAUCAUAUGCACUAUAGUACUGUCAUAUAGAGUUUCUAGUGAAGGGGAAUAAAUACAAAUAUGAAUACCAUAGUUGGAGACUCUUCCAGCAUGCCAAAGUUGGCAAAAGAAUAUACCCCCUUUCUGGUGAACAGCUCUCACAAUUGGUUUCCAUGCUUCCACUUGUUCUCUUGUCCAAAUGCCUGGUGUAUUUGGGUAUCUUUAACAAGGAAAAAAGAUGCAACAAAUGAAUUAAUCAAAUUUCUGGGUACCAAAGCUUUUUGUGGUUGACCAGUUUUGAAAAACAUGUUAGUUUAUGUUUCUUCCUUUUUGCCAAUGUGUCUAGUUUCUGAAAUUCCUAGGAAUCAUACAUUGAGGUUAUUCACUUGAGAAAAAUACAGAAAAAAAUGAAAAGAAUGGAAGAUAAGACUACCCUUGUGCAGUUUCUGACACCCCUGAGGCUUCUCCAAUCAAAAGUCCACCCUUUGUUGUUCGUUGAGAAUAAUAGAGAGCAGCAUGAGGCUGAGCCACGAAGUUGUAAGAUCUUGUUCUUGUUAAUGGUGCCAGAACAAUCCUACAGCAUGGAACACAUAUUAACCAUUUCUCUAUACACUGAGUUAGAAUUUGGUUUGAGGAACCAAUAUGUGGUGAUCAAGGUAAUAGCCAUGUCAAUUUACCUGUGAGAUAGAUUGAAUUUUCCCAUCUUGAAAGGGGUGAGAAGGGGUAUCACUUCCCUUCCAUUAACCACCUUCUCCUUCUCUUCCAUUGUCUCCUUGUUCAUCAUCCUUUUCCCACCUUGCUAAUUCAGAAUCUGUGAUGGAAUAUGUGGACUCUUGCUCUUCAUUCUUAUAGUAAAUCAAAAUAGUUGUCUUUUUAACUUUUUUUUUAUCUUUUUUCUGAAAGUCAUAAUAAAUCCAAACGAAUUUAUGUGGACUGUUAACUACUAUAUAUUUUGCCUUGAGUUAAUCAAUUUGCAUUUAUUAUUAUAUCUUUUUUUUAUUAGAAAUAUAUUUGUUUUUAAUACUAUUAAUUGUUUUUCACAGGAUUUAAGAGAAUGAAUUCUUUAUUACUAUUUACACUUUUAUUUUUCCAACUAACAUUUUAUUUUUAUUUUUCUAUCUAGUGUCAUUUAGAAAGUAAAAAUAAAUAAAUUAAUAAAUUAAAUAAAAAAUAUAGUUUUUUUUUAAUUUUUUAUUUACUUUUAAAAUCGUGCUAGACAGAGAAAUAAAAACAAAAAGAUGUUAGAUAUGAAAGUAAAAAACAAAUGGUGAUAGAUGAGAAAAUAAAAGUAUAAAUAGUGCUAGACGAGGAAUUGAAUCAUUUAAGGUAUUUUAUUUCUUUUUCAAUAAAUUUAUUAUGUGUAAUAAUGUAUUGACAACCCAUAUUUUUUAUACAACUACAUUACAAUUCUUAAUAUUAUUAUUUUAAUAUUUUUUUAUAUCAUUUAAUUUUAAAUUUACCCUUUAUCAUAUAUAUUUAUUUCUAAAUUCAUUACAUCAAGACUUGUAUACAACUCAAUGGGUAGUCAAAGUAUCAUUUUUCUUUUGUUAUUUCAUAUAAAAAUUGAAAUUUUAGAUAUUAUUAAAUACUAUUUAAUAUUAUUAAUGUUAAUAAAAAUUAUUAAUGUUAUUAAAUAUUAUUAAUGUUAUUAAAUAUUCUUAAUAUUAUUAAAUAUUAUCCAUAUUAUUAAUAUUAAUAAUAUAAUACUAAUUAUAUUAAUUUUAUAAUAUUAAUAAUAUGUAUACUUAUUAGUUAUGAUUAAAUAUUAUUUAUGAAUAUUAAUUAUGAUUUUGUAAUUAUUGAUAUUAUAAUAAUAUUUUUAAUAUUAAGUAUAUAAUUAUUAUGAUAAUAGUUGGUAGGUAGUAGAGAUCCGUAGGUAAAAAUUGGUAGGUAAUAAGAUUCGUUAGUAAUAGUUAGUAGGUAAUGUUGAAUUUACCUACAAAUUCAUAAUCUGUAAGUAAUAUCCACAUUCCGUAGGUAGUGCUGAAUUUACCUAUGAAUUCAGAUCCAUGGAUAAAAAUUCAUAGAUAAUACUAUUUUUUUUGUAGUGAGAAAGAAAAAUAAUUUUUUACACAAGUUAUUUGAAGUUUUUAUUUUCUUAUCAUUUUAGAGUUAUUGUCCUGAUAUUUGUUGAAAAAAAUUAAAAUUAUGUUGAUGAGUAUCUUAUCACGAAUAAUUGAAAGUGAGUUUAGUAUAUAAUAUAAUCAUUGUUUUUAGUUAUUCUUCACUGUUAUGCCAAUUGAUGUCCACUGCUAUGAAACAUAAUCUCCUUCCCUUUUUAAAUGAUGGCCAUUUUUGAAUUUAGCUUUCUAAUUCAUUUUUCCCUUCACAUACUUUGAAUGAUUUUGUUGUGCAUUGUAUUUGUAGAGAAAAGAAACCGUUGACACUUUUCUCUCUCUCUUUUUUAUCAUUUGAGUUUUAUUUGUGCAUUGUAUUUAUCUCCUUAAAGAAAAUAUUAUGAGUGGGGAUAACUCUAAAUCAUAUUACAAUUAAAAAAAUAAAUAAUUUUAAAAUUGCAUUGUGCUACAUUAUAUAUGUAAACUAGUGUAAUGUGUGUCAUUAUAUUUGUAAACUAGCGUUUUUAGUGUGUAAUGAUCAAAAUAACAUUUUAAAUAUAUUAUAGGUUGAAGAUUUCACAUUAUUUAAAAAUUAAAACAUUUAAUAGUAUAUAAAUAGAUACCAACUUCACUUUAAAAACCGAUUUUAUGAAAUUUAGUUAUACAAAUUAAAAAGAUUAAUUCUUUAUAUUUUUUUAUAUUUAAACUCAAAAUUAUGUUUAUGUUAGCCAAAUAAGAUAUUUCAAUGUGAUUAGAAGUUUGUUGACAUUAAUAAAAAAAAAAUCAAUAAUUUAUAAAAGGAAUGGCUUGGUGGGUAUGAGAGAAUUAUAAAAGUUGGAGGAAGAGUGGAGAAGGUCUUCUUUUUAACAUAUCUUUUUUUAUCACAUUGGUAAGUGGUGAUAGGCCAUAAGAUUUGGGUGGAGAGUGAAAGCUUUCAUGAUAGACUACAUUUAUUUAGCAUAUCUUAAUUAAGGAUUUCAAUGUUCUCUUUUUCUUAAAGUGUAAUCUUCUUCUAACACUUCUUAAUUGUUGUAAAAAUGGAGAGAAGUAUAAUAUAUUCUCAAUACUAAGAUAUGCCAAAUUUUCAGUAUUUUUUUUUCACUAAAGAUAUAAUAAAGAUAUAAGAGACUUUCAACUUGAUAUAAUGAGAUUUGACAAAGUUCAAGGUAAAAUAUUACGUGAACAAAAAGUUUGACAAAACAUGAUAAAAUUACACUCAAUUUAGAUACGUCCAAAGUCUUUACCGUGAAAAAUCAAUAAUUUGAGUAAUUCAAUAACUUCAACAUAUAAAGACUUUUGAACUUCAAGAAAAAUAAAAAAACUACAAUCUUACUUCCACGAAAAAUACUAAUAUGGAUUAAAAAAUCUUAAAGAAAAAUAAAGAAAUUACAACCUUACUUCCACGAAAAAUAACAAUAUGGACUAAAAAAUCGAGACAUCCUCUAGCAAUACCAUUUGUAUUGAUCUUUUGUCCAAUUAAUAUAAAAAAAACUUUGAAAGAACUAAAAUAGACAAAAAAAAAAAAAACUCUUUCCACCUUGUGACAACAUAAAGAAAUUUUAAACAUGGAAAAUAAAAAAUGUCAUCAUGUAUUUUGUGGAAGCAUUACCUAUUAUGCUUAUAUAGCCUUCGAUAAUAUAGAAAAACACAUUGUUUCUAUGUAUACGAGUUUAACAAAUGUUAAAUCUAAUUAUGAUGGAGAUUGUAUUUAAGGUAUGAUAAUUGUAUUUUAUCUAAUGAAAGCUUUUUGUAAACCAUUCGUUUAAGCAAUGUAUUGUGAAAAAAAGGAAUGCCCCUCAUAAUUAAUUGUCAAAUAGAAAGAGUUAUAUAUAUUAAGGAAUGUGAAAAUUAUAUUAGUAAGCAUAACUAUUACCAAUUAUUAUUACUGACUUAGUAAGUUAUUUUCAGGUUUUUUGAUCAUGAUGGGUUAUUUUUUUUGUUUUCACCAAAAUGGAGUCUGUUUAAAAAAAUUACAAAUUUAGACAAGUCGUGCCAAUUCGGCACGACUUCAUAUGCAGAAGUCGUCCCAAUUAGGCACGACUUCUGCCCUGUCAUACUAGUCGUGUCAACUUAGCACGACUUCUGUCACGUCAUAAUUUUAUUUUAUUUUUAUUUAAUUGUUUAUAUAUUGGGUAGUAAGUUAUGUAAUGUUAAAAAUUAAUUUGAUACAUAAUUUUCUAAGAGUGUUAGUUUUAAGGAACAAAAAAUUGGAUAAUUGUGUAUGGAUCAUGUUUGAAUUGAAUGAAUAAAUAAAUAAUUUACUUCUAGCUCAACUUUAUAGUUUUAUUUUAUAUCUUGUAAUGAAUCUUACUAAUUUGUUUAGUUCUAAUUAAUAAUCUCUUCUCAUCAUUACGUGUUCUGUAAAAUCAUUACUUCUCAAGCUAUUUAUUUUGCAAAUUCACAACAAUAAUUCUCUAUUUAUUUUCCAAAUACAAUAAAUUUUCAUUUAUGUAUUUAUUUCCAAAUUCAAUAACAAUUUUCUUCAUUUUUUAAUUAAUCAAAUAAUCAAGUUAUUGUAUUACAUUACCGUCAAACAUGAUCCAUACACAAUUAUCCAAUUUUUUGUUCCUUAAAACUAACACUCUUAGAAAAUUAUGUAUCAAAUUAAUUUUUAACAUUACAUAACUUACUAAAAAAAUAAAAAAGAUUAUGACGUGGCAGAAGUCGUGCCAAGUUGACACGACUUUAGUAUGACAGGACAGAAGUCGUGCCUAAUUGGAACGACUUUUGCAUAUGAAGUCGUGCCGAAUUGGCACGACUUGUCUAAAUUUGUAAUUUUUUUUAAACGGACCCCAUUUUAGUAAAAACAAAAAAAAAAAAACCCCAUCAUGGUCAAAAAACCUUAUUUUCAUUUAAGUUAAAAGAAUUUGCAAUGUAGUUAAAAAUGAUAAUAACAUAAUCUAUACCUAUAUAUAAAGGGGAUUCCUCUCUUUAACUGUUCUCAAUUAUUUUCCUAUUUUAUCCUUAUAUUAAUAUUUAAUUUUAUUACUUUAUUAUUGACAUUGCGUCAUUUUCUAUUUUUUUAAAAAUAUAUUAAAACAGUUAUCACCACUACAAGAAAAUUAUUAAAUAAAAAUUAAUUUUAGUGACUAAAUUAGAGAUCAUUUUAUAGACUAAAAAAAUAUUGGUUUCUAUUAUUGAUAAAUAAUUUCUAAAUUGAUAUCUAAUUAGAUACCAAGAUUUUUGCUACCAAAUUUAGAAUCUAAAUAAUUGGUAGUUAAAAUCUUGGUAGCUAAUUAGAUAUCAUUUUAAAAAUUAUUUAUCAAUAAUAGAAAUUAAUUUAGAAACUAAUAAUUUUUUUGUCUCUAAAAUAUUUCUAAUUUAAUUACUAUAACAAAUUUUUUAUCUUUAAAAUUAGUUUUUAUUUAAUUUUUUUCUUGUAUGGCACAUGCAAUUUUGAAUGUAGAACAAUUUUUUUUUAAAAAAAAUUAAUUUUCUAAAAUAUAUCUUUAUUUCUUCAAUUUUUACGGACAAUUGUUGUUUUCUAAUUUUGAAUUUUUGGUAUUUUAUCACCGUAUUUUCUCUUUUCGCUUUUUCUCACUUUAUCUCUCUUCUUCCUCAAAGAUACAUAUAAUAAUAGUAAAAAAAAAAAAAAAAAUUUGGAUAUAUUCGCUCUCUGCACCUGUGUUCCCUAGUAUAUAAAAAAAAUGAUUAGUGUAAUUAUUGUGCUCAUAUUUUUUUUAAGCCACGUCCAUUUUUAAUUUUUUUAAGUAAUUUUUAAAGUCAAUUAUUAGUAUUUAAUUAUAUAAUCAAGAGUUUUUCCCUGGAUUUGUAAAGUCGAAAUAAAUAUAUUAAAACACGAGUGCAAUUAAUAAUGAAGAAAAGGAAAAAUUGGUACGUCAUGAUAAUAUUAUUUUUUAUUUCACUAGACACCCAUCUCCCUCCCACAAACAAAAUAUAUAUAUAUAUAUAUAUAUAUAUAUAUAUAUGAAUACCAUAAAUAGGGACAUUUUAAGUAACUUAAUAGUGUUUUGGAUGGUAGUCUUAUCCACCAAAAGUUUUCAGACACAUUUGUUCCCCAUCAUACUCAUAAUUUCAAUUACAAUAAUAUUACAACUUAUUAUUAUAUGACAUUAAAAUUGUAUUACUAUAUUACUUUUAACAAGGAUGUCUUUAGAAUUUUUUAACAUUAAAAAUAUAAACCAUUAAAAAAUACCUUGCAUUAUAAUAUUUGCAUUUUAUUAUAAAUUCAAAAUAUAACUUACUUAUUUAAAAUAUUUAUUUAUUAUUAAUGUAAUUACAAAAUAACUAGUUUUGUCAAACAAACCUUAAUUAUUUGAAGGUAGCAACUAAGAGUGAGAAUGAAAUGUUUAUAGUGUUAAUGAAUUUAGUUCUUUCCUUGGAUUCAAACAUCAAAUUCUUUGUGAAAUAUCAAUUAUAUUAAAUCCAUUGGGCAUUAGCAAGUUUUAGUGUUAUUUUCUUGUUGUUCAAUCAUAUAAAUAACCUUUCUAAAAACAUUGAAUUAUAUAUUGGUUGAGAUGGAGAAGGGUUGGUAAAGAGAAAAAAGUAUUCAUGCAUUUAGCACAGUUUGCAAAUAUAUAUUCAAUUAUUAUGAAUGGCAAUGAUAACAUUAUCUUAUCUUAUUACUAAAGACAAUCCACUGAUUCCAUUCUUUGUAUGCCCAAUAGUUAGAGGCAUGUCUGCCCUUCUUUCAGGGACUACUUCAUUAUUAUGCACUUGAAUACAGAUAUCUAACUACAUUCAAUUUCCAUUAUAAACUUUUUUUAAACUUAAUUAUCUUUUUUCAUUUCAUUUAAUCCAUUUACUAAUAAAAAUUUAAAUAAAGUUCCUCAAUAUUGAAAAUGUUAUUUUAAAUUUUAAUUGAAUAUCUCAAUUAUUAAAAAUAAAUCUUUCCCAUAUUCAAAUUAAUGUAACUGGACUAAGCCAUGAAUAACUAAUUUUAAUUCAACAUAUGAGAAUCUCUUAUUAACUCAUGCUCAUGCUUGUGCAUAAUAUUAUACAUUUAUGAAUGAUUAUGCAUUAUAUUAUAUAUUUAUCAUAUUAUAUAUUUAUGGAUCAUCUUAUAACGGAUCCUAUAAUAAAAUUGAAUAAAAUUUAAAUAAUUUUAUUAAAACAAACUUUAAAUGAGUAUAAUAUUACUAGCGAAAACACGUAUAUUGUUCUCUUUUACCAACUUUCAAAAUGAUAGAAAUUUAACAUAAAUAAUUUUAGAUGAGUCAUAAAUAAAAAAGUAAAAAAUAACAUAUGGAAAAGAAAAAUGAUGAAUUUCUCUGGUAGAGUCUCUCUUAUUCCAUUAGUAGUUUUGGGAUCGAAGAGUGUGAUGAUGUUCACGUUGCUUGAAAUGGAGUGAAGAGAGUGAUUGAAAAUUAAUGUUAUUUUAUUUGAUAUGUGAGAUUUGGAGUAGAAACAUGUGAGAAUAUACACUCUCUUUCUUCCGGUUGUUGUCUUAAAAUAAAGAAUUAAGAAAAGAGUGAAAGAAUCAGUUUACCUAUAAAAAGUGUACAUUAAUAUUAAAUUAAAAAAUAGUUUUAUUUUUUAAGUAAUUCAUAUGAAAUGACCAAAUACUUUAUUGUACUAAUAAAAUGAGAUAUAUUAAAUAAGGAUAAAAUAAAAAAAAAUUGUGUAAAAAAAAAAAAAUAGUAAAAUAUCCCUUUUAUAUAAUAAUAUAUUAUUAUAAAAUAAAUUUUAAAUAUAACUUAACCAGUAAUUUUAUAUGUGUAGUACUGAAAUCUCCAAGAGCUUAUUAUUAAAUUGAUUUUUGUAGUCAUAUAUUCUAAUGAGUCAUAUAAUCUACUAUUUUUAUCAUUUCCUUUUCACAAUUGCUACUCUUUCUUGCUCAUUCUAUUUUUUUUUUUUAGAACUAUGCUUAGCCAACUCAAGCUUGACUAUCUACCAUCCAAAACCUUCAUCCAACAU
rnacentral:lncRNA from 1 species